rnacentral:rRNA from 1 species
AGCGGAUGAACUGAGGGUAGCGGAGAAAUUCCAAUCGAACCUGGAGAUAGCUGGUUCUCUCCGAAAUAGCUUUAGGGCUAGCCUCAAGUGAUGAUUAUUGGAGGUAGAGCACUGUUUGGACGAGGGGCCCCUCUCGGGUUACCGAAUUCAGACAAACUCCGAAUGCCAAUUAAUUUAACUUGGGAGUCAGAACAUGGGUGAUAAGGUCCGUGUUCGAAAGGGAAACAGCCCAUACCACCAGCUAAGGUCCCAAAAUAUAUGUUAAGUGGAAAAGGAUGUGGCGUUGCCCAGACAACUAGGAUGUUGGCUUAGAAGCAGCCAUCAUUUAAAGAGUGCGUAAUAGCUCACUAGUCGAGUGACACUGCGCCGAAAAUGUACCGGGGCUAAACAUAUUACCGAAGCUGUGGAUUGUCCUUUGGACAAUGGUAGGAGAGCGUUCUAAGGGCGUUGAAGCAUGAUCGUAAGGACAUGUGGAGCGCUUAGAAGUGAGAAUGCCGGUGUGAGUAGCGAAAGACGGGUGAGAAUCCCGUCCACCGAUUGACUAAGGUUUCCAGAGGAAGGCUCGUCCGCUCUGGGUUAGUCGGGUCCUAAGCUGAGGCCGACAGGCGUAGGCGAUGGAUAACAGGUUGAUAUUCCUGUACCACCUAUAAU